AAACCCCUGUUGUAGCCCCCUUGUUGAGGGGGGCAUACAUAAGCGCGCCUCAAUAACUACUUAGUCAACGCGGGUCAAACAUUAUAAAGGGUUGUUAUAGCGAACAUUUUUAUUGUUCGCUUCGAUAACUAUUGUUGAAGGGGGCAUUUAAGUGUUUGCAUCAACAAAGUAUCAUCUGUUGAAGCGUACACUCCAAUGUUCGCUUCGACAAAGUUAGAUAGGCAUAUACUCCAAAUUUUAAUUCUCUCUCCUCCUCAUUUCUUCUGUUAGCCUGGAGGAUUCCUUUCUCUCUCCUCUCUCCCCUCUCAUGGUUUAAAACUUCUCAAACCCUCCGCCUCUUUCGUCAACAACUCGGACUCCCUCUUACUCUCCUCAAAGUCGGACUCCAUGGAAGAGUUGCAAAGCUAGGGUCUCGCCGCCGACUUCUCUCCCUCCUCAAACUCGUCGAUCUAUCUCCCUGCUCAAGCUCAACACAAUUUCCUCAAUCGUAUCUCAAUUCAACCGCUAUCUACUUCGUAUUCUCGAGCAAGGCGGCGGUGUUGUCUCAAAAUGAUGUAACUCUUUCAUCUCUCUCCUUCAUCUUUCCUCCAUUCUUCAAUUCUUUUAGGUUUUUGAUUUUUCAUAUUAUUUUUUAUUAAUUUUUUUUAUUUAUAAUUUAGGUUUUUGAUUAUUUUGUUGAUUUUAACGAAUUUUAAUUUUCUAACUGGAGGUGGCGGUGGUGGAGGUGCGGCUUGGGUUUCGGUAGGUCGUGGGUGGUCAGAUUAUGAGGCACAAGCAGGUGAUGGCUGUGGUAGAUGAAGCAUCAUUGCAAAAAGCGCUGCAUUUGGUGUACAGCCUCAAUCAGGACUAUGUAGCUGUUCUGUUUUAUGCUUCUUCGAGAACUUCAGACCAAGCUAUUCAACCCUGUCUUCCUUAUAUCCAUCUAUUCCUCAUUUUGCAAUAGAAGAAUCAGCCAUCAGACCAAGCAUACUGUCAAAAUAUGGAAUCUUGUGUUUGGCAUACCAACUGUACAAAUUUAAUGAUGGGAUUUGUCCGAAUAGAGCGACUACGCAGGGGUUGAAAGGCUUCCCUGUAAAGUGUGCUCAACAAGUCGGUGCCCGCGAGUGUGGCUAUUACAUUAUGAAGUUCAUGCAUGAAAUAGUCACGUUACACCAUAACUCUGAUGAGCGGUUAGAUAAUGCUUACACUCCAAGAAAUGCGCCUUAUACCGAUGAGGAAAUAGAUGUGGUUCGUGAGCUAUGGGCUAAGUUUUUUACAACCGAGUAUUUAUUUACUUAGGUUGUUUAGACACAAAGAUGGAAGCGUUUAUAUCUUCAUGGAUUUGGCUAGGGAUCGAGUCGAUUGGAAGAAAGUCAACACGACCUUACUUAAGGUUUGUAAUGCAUGAUCUAAAGGGACCUAAGUGGCUGGAUUAGAGACAUUUGUUAGAUUAGCUCUCUAGCCUUUUGUCUUUAGUUGUUAAUAUUAGUUGUAAUUUGUUAGACUAGCUAGGUGUUUAAAAAUUGUAAACAUACGUACUAUAUAUACGCUUUGCUCUGUUGGGUUAAUA